CUUAGUGGCGGACGGGUGAGUAACGCGUGAGUAACCUGCCUUUCAGAGGGGGAUAACAACCGGAAACGGUUGCUAAUACCGCAUAAAAUAUUGAGACUGCAUGGUUUUAAUAUCAAAGGAGCAAUCCGCUGAGAGAUGGACUCGCGUCCAAUUAGCUAGUUGGUGAGGUAAUGGCUCACCAAGGCGACGAUUGGUAGCCGGACUGAGAGGUUGAACGGCCACAUUGGGACUGAGACACGGCCCAGACUCCUACGGGAGGCAGCAGUGGGGAAUAUUGCACAAUGGGGGAAACCCUGAUGCAGCGACGCCGCGUGAGGGAAGAAGGUUUUCGGAUUGUAAACCUCUGUCCUCGGUGAAGAUAAUGACGGUAACCGAGGAGGAAGCCACGGCUAACUACGUGCCAGCAGCCGCGGUAAUACGUAGGUGGCAAGCGUUGUCCGGAAUUACUGGGUGUAAAGGGAGCGUAGGCGGGGAUGCAAGUUGAAUGUUAAAUCUAUGGGCUCAACCCAUAUUCGCGUUCAAAACUGCAUUUCUUGAGUGAAGUAGAGGUAGGCGGAAUUCCUAGUGUAGCGGUGAAAUGCGUAAAUAUUAGGAGGAACACCAGUGGCGAAGGCGGCCUACUGGGCUUUAACUGACGCUGAGGCUCGAAAGCGUGGGUAGCAAACAGGAUUAGAUACCCUGGUAGUCCACGCUGUAAACGAUGAUUACUAGGUGUGGGGGGACUGACCCCUUCCGUGCCGCAGUUAACACAAUAAGUAAUCCACCUGGGGAGUACGACCGCAAGGUUGAAA
rnacentral:rRNA from 1 species